CCUACGGACGGCAGCAGUGGGGAAUAUUGGACAAUGGGGGGAACCCUGAUCCAGCCAUGCCGCGUGUGUGAAGAAGGCCCUCGGGUUGUAAAGCACUUUCAGUGAGGAAGAACGCCUGGUGGUUAAUACCCAUCAGGAAAGACAUCACUCACAGAAGAAGCACCGGCUAACUCCGUGCCAGCAGCCGCGGUAAUACGGAGGGUGCGAGCGUUAAUCGGAAUUACUGGGCGUAAAGCGCGCGUAGGUGGCUUGAUAAGCCGGUUGUGAAAGCCCCGGGCUCAACCUGGGAACGGCAUCCGGAACUGUCAAGCUAGAGUGCAGGAGAGGAAGGUAGAAUUCCCGGUGUAGCGGUGAAAUGCGUAGAGAUCGGGAGGAAUACCAGUGGCGAAGGCGGCCUUCUGGACUGACACUGACACUGAGGUGCGAAAGCGUGGGUAGCAAACAGGAUUAGAUACCCUUGUAGUC
rnacentral:rRNA from 1 species